rnacentral:rRNA from 1 species
AUUGAACGCUGGCGGCAGGCCUAACACAUGCAAGUCGAGCGAGCGGCGGACGGGUGAGUAAUGUAUGGGGAUCUGCCCGAUAGAGGGGGAUAACUACUGGAAACGGUGGCUAAUACCGCAUACUAUCGGAUGUACCCAGAUGGGAUUAGCUAGUAGGUGGGGUAAAGGCUCACCUAGGCGACGAUCCCUAGCUGGUCUGAGAGGAUGACCAGCCACCUGGGACAGGAGACACGGUCCAGCCUCCUACGGGAGGCAGCAGUGGGGAAUCUUGGACAAUGGGAGUAAGCUUUAUGCAGCCAUGCCGCGUGUAUGAAGAAGGCCUUCGGGUUGUAAAGUACUUUCAGCGGGGAGGCGUUACCCGCAGAAGAAGCACCGGCGAACUCCGUGCCAGCAGCCGCGGUAAUUC